CCAGGUGGUUUAGGCAUAGUUCCUAAAGUCCAGUUGGUUUAGGUGUGGUUUAGGCAUAGUUCCUAAAGUCCAGUUGGUUUAGGUGUGGUUUAGGCAUAGUUCCUAAAGUCCAGUUGGUUUAGGUGUAGUUCCUAUGGUCCAGGUGGUUCAUGUGUGGUUCCUAUUGUCCAGGUGGUUCAGGCGUGUUUCUUAUAGUCCAGGUGGUUCAUGUGUAUUUCCUAUGGUCCAAGUGGUUCAGGUGUAUUUUCGUAGUUCCAAUGGUCCAGGUGGGUCAGGUGUAGUUCCUAUGGUCCAGGUGGUUAGGUGUAAAUCCUAUGAUCCAGGUGGUUCAGGUGUAGUUCCUAUGGUCCAGGUGGUUCAGGUGUAGUUCCUAUGGUCCAGGUGGUUCAUGUGUGGUUCCUAUUGUCCAGGUGGUUCAUGUGUAUUUCCUAUGAUCCAAGUGCUUCAGGUGUAUUUCCGUAGUUCCAAUGGUCCAGGUGGUUCAGGUGUAGUUCCUAUGGUCCAGGUGGUUUAGGUGUAAUUCCUAUGAUCCAGGUGGUUCAGGUGUAGUUCCUAUGGUCCAGGUGUAGUUCCUAUGGUCCAGGUGG